CCGCCUGGAGGACCAUCCAUCCGCCGGCUCACAUCACCACGUGAUGUCGCUCUGUGCCGUCACGUGUCCUUCACUCGCGGGCGGGUGGGCGGUUGGUGACGUCAUCUUUGGGCGGGAACAAGAUGAAGAUGUACCGGCGCUGAGACCCCGGACCCUGACCUGCAGCUCCGUUGAGGCAAGUCAGGCCAACGUGUCAUCGUCCAGGUCAAUAUCCAACCUCAAUCACGCACUUUGUUUCCUGGUCGCUAGGUAGCGAGUACUCUGGGAUCAUGGCUGCCUCCUCAUUACAUCAAAACAAUAGCAAGGUUUCCAAGGAAUAAAGGAAAAUCGCAAAAGGGAUCUACCAAGGAAGUUAAUAAUAUAAACGCCCCCCAACUAUCCAGAGUCCUGAGGUACGGAUGCACCGUAGUUAAUAAAGUUCACUCAACUCAGUAGCAGCACCACAGAGGUCUCUCUGCACCCGUUUGAAAAAAAACCAUGCAAGAUAAUCACUGAAAACUACACCUUAAAUCUAAAGUACAUACUUCAUACCUCGAUUUUUAGCUAAAAAAAAAAACAUGAUUUAGUAGGAAGCAAGCUAUGUCAACAAGAGACAAAAUGAUGUUUUUUUUCUAAAUAUUUUGGUUAAGGAGCCUAGAUAGAACCCGUCAUAAUCAGUAAAUGUAAAAUCAUUCAGAGAGAGUUUUAACAUCACGUUUCCAAUGCUUUUACAUUUAUUUAUAAGGUAACUACAUCAUGAAAAUUGUAUGUAAAACUUUGUGAAAAAAUAAAUAGUAACAAAAUGGUA